rnacentral:rRNA from 1 species
GACGAACGCUGGCGGCGUGCCUAAUACAUGCAAGUCGAACGAGAGCGACCGGUGCUUGCACUGGUCAAUCUAGUGGCGAACGGGUGAGUAACACGUGGGUAACCUGCCCAUCAGAGGGGGAUAACAUUCGGAAACGGAUGCUAAAACCGCAUAGGUCUUCGAACCGCAUGGUUUGAAGAGGAAAAGAGGCGCAAGCUUCUGCUGAUGGAUGGACCCGCGGUGCAUUAGCUAGUUGGUGAGGUAACGGCUCACCAAGGCCGUGAUGCAUAGCCGACCUGGGGGGGUGAUCGGCCACAUUGAGACUGAGACACGGCCCAAACUCCUACGGGAGGCAGCAGUAGGGAAUCUUACGCAAUGGACGCAAGUCUGACGGAGCAACGCCGCGUGAGUGAAGAAGGUUUUCGGAUCGUAAAACUAUGUUGUUAGCGAGGAAUAAGUGCUAGAGUAACUGUUAGCGCCUUGACGGUAUCUAACCAGAAAGCCACGGCUAACUACGUG